AAGACCUUGCGCUUUUGGAGCGGCCGAUGCCUGAUUAGCUUGUUGGUAAGGUAAAAGCUUACCAAGGCUUCGAUCAGUAGCUGGUCUGAGAGGACGACCAGCCACACUGGGACUGAGACACGGCCCAGACUCCUACGGGAGGCAGCAGUGGGGAAUUUUGGACAAUGGGGGCAACCCUGAUCCAGCCAUGCCGCGUGAGUGAAGAAGGCCUUCGGGUUGUAAAGCUCUUUCAGCCGGAACGAAACGGUUACGGAUAACACCCGUGACUACUGACGGUACCGGAAGAAGAAGCACCGGCUAACUACGUGCCAGCAGCCGCGGUAAUACGUAGGGUGCGAGCGUUAAUCGGAAUUACUGGGCGUAAAGGGUGCGCAGGCGGUUUUGUAAGUCAGAUGUGAAAUCCCCGGGCUUAACCUGGGAACU
rnacentral:rRNA from 1 species